CCAAUAGCGUAUCUUAAAGUUGCUGCAGUUAAAAAGCUCGUAGUUGAAUUUCGGGACCAAUAUGUCGGUCGUGCCUCGGUACGUACUGGCAUCGUUGGUUUCUCCCUUCUGACGAACCAUGAUGUCAUUUAUUUGGUGUCGUGGGGAAUCAGGACUGUUACUUUGAAAAAAUUAGAGUGUUUAAAGCAGGCUCACGCUUGAAUACAUUAGCAUGGAAUAAUGAAAUAGGACGUUUGAUUCUAUUUUGUUGGUUUCUAGGAUCGACGUAAUGAUUAAUAGGGAUAGUUGGGGGCAUUAGUAUUCAAUUGUCAGAGGUGAAAUUCUUGGAUUUAUUGAAGACUAACUACUGCGAAAGCAUUUGCCAAGGAUGUUUUCAUUAAUCAAGAACGAAAGUUAGGGGAUCGAAGACGAUCAGAUACCGUCGUAGUCUUAACCAUAAACUAUGCCGACUAGGGAUCGGAUGAUGUUAAUUUUUUAAUGACUCAUUCGGCGCCUUACG
rnacentral:rRNA from 1 species